CCGUGAGAAAAACAUUUCUGGAAGGAAGGAAACCCGAGCACUGAGGACCGACACCAGGAAAUGGAGAUCUGACGUGGAGCAGAUCAAAAGGUAGGGAGAGUGGGGACGGACGGUUGCAACAAGACUCCUCCAUUCAGGAAUGAGCUAGAGUGAUGAUAUUACUACAUAUUCUUAUAUAGACCCUCCUUCAAUCUCAGAGAAAUCAUCCAUAUGCGACCAUUCCUUCAGUAUAAAGCCUGUUUUAAGAUGGCAGUGUUGCUUCACUGAGGAAAUAUUUAUUYUGCAGUGUGCUGGGACUCCUGGGAGGACCAAGAAGAUGGUUAAGAAUUGCAGCACUUGCAGCAACAGCAACAGCGGGCGGCAAUGACAGUGACUACUCUGUCCCAUGGAUCAAGAGAGUGAGCCCAUAGAGGAAGGAAAUCCCAAGACCGGAGAGCAGAAGGAAGCCAUUGAGGUUUGUGCUUCUGCAGAAUGUUGACAAUGAUGGCGAAGAUCAGAAUAACCGCUAUGGGGACAAGAACUCCCACGAGUACCUUCCAGCCGGCCAUAGAGACCAAAGACCAGUAGAGGCAAACCGAAGAAGCAAACGAUGAUGUAAAAGGCUGCAAACCAACGGUACUGGGCUGUUGUUUCACCAAGACCCUUUGCCAGUCGGAUGGGGAUUCUUGUGAUGGGGAUUGGGUACCACAACAAUAUCCCAGAUAAGUUGAAGAAGAGGUGAACCAAUGCAAUCUAUAGCAACCUGUCCCUUGAGCAUCGAAUUCAGCAGCUUCACAAUACAAAUGAGGCAAGUGCACAGAAUGAGCAGAGAACCCGCCAGCAGAAUCAGACCCACCGCCAGGUCCGAAAGGCUCGUGUUCACGAAGAUGUGACUGCCUGUGUGAAAAGAGAACAACGUAAAAGAAAGAGACCAUGCUGACCACAAUAGAUGAGGAUGUGCCGGAGCUCUGGACUAGCAGAGUGACCAGCAUCCCGAUUACCAGGCCUGCCAACGGAUUUGAGAGCACCUUAUCUUYCUGGAAAAUGUCCCCUGCUGCUUUUCCUG
rnacentral:misc_RNA from 1 species